GUAGGUGGCAAGCGUUGUCCGGAAUUAUUGGGCGUAAAGCGCGCGCAGGCGGUUCUUUAAGUCUGAUGUGAAAGCCCACGGCUCAACCGUGGAGGGUCAUUGGAAACUGGAGAACUUGAGUACAGAAGAGGAAAGCGGAAUUCCACGUGUAGCGGUGAAAUGCGUAGAGAUGUGGAGGAACACCAGUGGCGAAGGCGGCUUUCUGGUCUGUAACUGACGCUGAGGCGCGAAAGCGUGGGGGGAGCAAACAGGAUUAGAUACCCUGGUAGUCCACGCCGUAAACGAUGAGUGCUAAGUGUUAGGGGGUUUCCGCCCCUUAGUGCUGCAGCUAACGCAUUAAGCACUCCGCCUGGGAGUACGGCCGCAAGGCUG
rnacentral:rRNA from 1 species